rnacentral:miRNA from 1 species
CUCGGCAUUCAUGUUUUUCCUU